AUUAAUUUAGUUUAAUAAAAAUAUUAUAUUUUCAAUAUAAAGAUAAAAUUAUUUUUAAUUAAUA
rnacentral:tRNA from 1 species